rnacentral:rRNA from 1 species
UAACAACUCUCAGCAACGGAUAUCUCGGCUCUUGCAUCGAUGAAGAACGCAGCGAAAUGCGAUAAAUGGUGUGAAUUGCAGAAUCCCGUGAACCAUCGAGUCUUUGAACGCAAGUUGCGCUCGAGGCCAUCAGGCCAAGGGCACGCCUGCCUGGGCAUUGCGA